rnacentral:rRNA from 1 species
GGAGGGUGCAAGCGUUAUCCGGAUUCACUGGGUUUAAAGGGAGCGCAGGCGGACUGGUAAGUCAGUGGUGAAAUACCUGAGCUUAACUCGGGAACUGCCAUUGAUACUAUCAGUCUUGAAUGUUGUUGAGGUUUGCGGAAUGGGUCAUGUAGCGGUGAAAUGCAUAGAUAUGACCCGGAACACCUAUUGCGAAGGCAGCAGGCUAAACAAAUAUUGACGCUGAGGCUCGAAAGCGUGGGGAUCAAACAGGAUUAGAUACCCUGGUAGUCCACGCCCUAAACGAUGAUUACUCGACAUACGCGAUACACUGUGUGUGUCUGAGCGAAAGCAUUAAGUAAUCCACCUGGGAAGUACGACCGCAAGGUUG